GACGUAGGGCGCGAGCGUUGUCCGGAUUUAUUGGGCGUAAAGAGCUCGUAGGCGGCUUGUCGCGUCGGCUGUGAAAACCCGUGGCUCAACUGUGGGCGGGCAGCUGAUACGGGCAGGCUGGAGUUCGGUAGGGGCGGAUGGAACUUCCGGUGGAGCGGUGAAAUGUGUUGAUAUCGGAAGGAACGCCGGUGGCGAAAGCGAUCCGCUGGACCUCUUCUGACACUGAGGCGCGGAAGCCAGGGGAGCAAACGGG
rnacentral:rRNA from 1 species